GCCUGGGUGGCUCAGUGGAUUAAGCCUCUGCCUUCAGCUCAGGUCAUGAUCUCGGGGUCCUGGGAUCGAGUCCCACCUCAGGCU
rnacentral:tRNA from 1 species